rnacentral:rRNA from 1 species
AUUGAACGCUGGCGGCAGGCUUAACACAUGCAAGUCGAGCGGGGUGAUGGUGCUUGCACUAUCACUUAGCGGCGGACGGGUGAGUAAUGCUUAGGAAUCUGCCUAUUAGUGGGGGACAACAUCUCGAAAGGGAUGCUAAUACCGCAUACGUCCUACGGGAGACAGCAGGGGAUCUCUUGUGACCUUGCGCUAAUAGAUGAGCCUAAGUCGGAUUAGCUAGUUGGGGGGGUAAAGGCCUACCAAGGCGACGAUCUUUAGCGGGUCUGAGAGGAUGAUCCGCCACACUGGGACUGAGACACGGCCCAGACUCCUACGGGAGGCAGCAGUGGGGAAUAUUGGACAAUGGGGGGAACCCUGAUCCAGCCAUGCCGCGUGUGUGAAGAAGGCCUUAUGGUUGUAAAGCACUUUAAGCGAGGAGGAGGCUCUUUUGGUUAAUACCCAAGAUGAGUGGACGUUACUCGCAGAAUAAGCACCGGCUAACUCUGUGCCAGCCGCCGCCGUAA